AAUGCAUUUCUUCCUCUCUUCAUCUUAUACUUCUUAUGUGGAAAGGGGAAGAAGUAGAGGUGGUUUGUGUAACAUCCCGAAUUCUUGAUUCUUAUAUUAAUGCUAAUCAAGGGUGAAUUAGUAAUUUAAUGUGAGAUUAGGGUUUUAGAUGGUAAAAUGUUAUUUUGACUUUUUGAGGUGUUAUAUGAACAUAUUGGAGUGAAAGAACGUCAUGGUGAAGCAGAGCGUGUGAGCGCGAUAAGGAGUUUCCUCACCAUAGCACACGCGUUACAACGCAUGGUACAUAAAUUUGAUGAAUAAGAACAUGUCUUACUCAUGAAAAUAGAGAGGAAAAUAGAGAAAGAUGCACAAGAGGGAGAGGAAGAAGGGAGGCUCUACUAGGGCAUGAGGUUUCAGGAGGAAGGACGACAUUUUCGACUUGUUACUUAUUCGUCGGCGUCUUCUCAGAGACAAGAAUUCGCAGAGAGAGAAGAGGCGCGAGAGACACAGGCGCGGCUUCGUCUAUGAUUGCAGAGUCGAACACGCAAACUUCAGUCACUUCACACGCAAGCUCUAAAAAUGGAUAUCUUCUCCUGCUCCUAUAAUUUCCAGCAUAGACUUAGUCGAAAAGGGAAAAGAGCACAGACUGGGGUGAAGAAAGGCGGCUUUGCAGAUGGAAUACGGCGCCGUGUGAGGAAGGAGAAGCUGAAUCGAGCUAGAGUUCAUAGAUUCGCGCUACCUAGGUAUGGUAUUCUUCUGAGAUAUAAAAGGGAGAGAUUUUUGAAAACAAAAAGGGAGGAGAGACAAAGAGAAGGAGACGAAGAGAAAGAGACGGAGAGAAGAGAGCAUCUGGAGAUAGAAGAAGAGUCGAGCAUGGGGAAGACGAGAGAGAUUGAGCGAUCUAGAGACAGAGGAGGCCGAGAUUAGAGGGAGAUUUCUGAAAAGAAAACAGAGACUUAGAGUAAAGGAGGACCGAAAGAGCGAAAAAAUUUCUGAAAAAGUGAAGAGUGAAAUUUGAAAAUUUUUCGAAGAGGAACACGGAACAGAGGAGAAAGGAGUCGGAUGAACAAGACAGUAAGUUCUACUACUAGAAGGUCAAAGGAAAAGGAUAUAGACUGAGUUGACAUCUCUCACCUACAUCUUUGUAAGAUAUGGUGUAAUGAAUUUGGUUGGUAUUAGUCCUGUAUAUGUAUAAGUUGCUAUAGGAUUUGUACAUGUGCAUAAGAUAUGAUUGUGGUGUGGUUUGUGAUUUUGAACUCCCUAGCCCUUGUAUAUGUGUGAAAGGUGAAAUGAUUGAAUGGGUUAGUGGAUGGAUGUGAUUAUGUGUGAAUUUGAGAUGGGUGGAGACUAUUUGUAGUGAUUUGGCGAUAGAUGAGAUUAAAGAAAUGAAAUGUAAAUUUAGCCUAAAGAAAAAAAUGGGCAAUUUACAAGCCAAAUUUUUGUA